UGUUUUAUACAAUUUUAAUUAUUAAAAAUAUAUAUUUAAUUUUAAAUAUAUGUACCUUUCGAGUUAAGUGUCACAAAUUGAAUUGUGGGUAAUAUGAAAAUAUACGGGAUAUGGAGAAACCCAUUGAAUUAUUCUGCCGUAAACACCGCAAUUAACCACCAGGGGGAGAUGUUCGGAAACUGCAUGCAAUCUUGUAUUUGACCAAAUGUAAACAAUUAUCAUUUUGUCUACGAACAUCCGAUCCAGACGCAUGAUACGUCUUUGGAAAGCCACAAAACGGCUUUUUUAAUAUAAAAAAAAUAACCCCUGCAUAUUGAGCUACAGGGCACAGCACGAGCAGUGAAAGCAGGGUCCCCACAGACUUCUAUCAGGCGCGUUCACGGUCAUAACAAAGCCUACGUCAGCAUGUGCGCUUCACAGAAUGUCCGCCCCCAUGCUUGCCUGGAGUUUCACAUCGCAAUAGGAUUCUCCUCAGGUCUGUGAGGAUGAGAAGGUCUCCACAGUCUGGAGUCUGGUCUCUGACAGGCUCAACAUACCUGUCAAUCAACAGGGACUCCUCUACAAAGGCAAGGCGCUGGCAGCUAGGCUGAACAGCACAGCACAGCACAGCACAGCACAGCACAGAUCACCCCUCAUCUCGCCCCUCACCUCACCCCUCCUCUCACGCCUCGCCUCACCCCGGGUCAGUGUGGCACAGCCUGCCUGCUCUUCUGAACAAACACUUCAGUGUCUGGAGCAGCUACACAAGGUGAUGAAGUGACACUUUGAAUAUGGGGCCUGAUGAGAGAAGUAUCCUUUUCAUGUGGUUUUGGUUUUGCCGUUGUGAGCAGGUGUGGGAGACAGCACCGUGUCUUCAUGUGAAAUAACAAAGUCAUCGCAGUGGAGGGACUCUCUGAAGGCUGCUGUUUGUGGAUUUGUCUUUUAAUGUGAGUGAUCUACUGUACUGUGAUGCCACUGACUGUACGCACGCUGCACUG